AAGUAGUAUGCUCAAAUAUCGAAAGGAAGAAUUGAUUGAUUUAGGAUCCUACGGCAAAAAAAUAAACAAGGUCAAAUGGAUUAUGGCAAAUGUAGGAGCAUGAAAAAUAUGUUUGUGGGAGUGUCUCUUGCUUCUCAACCAUGUGGGAGUGUAACUAGGACUUUUAUAUAUGCACGGUUACGAAAAUUUAAAUAAGGUAUUGCUAACUAUUAUAUAUUACUAGGGAUUCGAGAAAUGUACCUAAGGUAUGAUGUAUUGAAAAUUUUCUGAUAUUUUUUGCCAAGAAAAAACUGUGAUACCAUAAGUUUGAAAUUUCUGGUAUUCUUUGCAUUUCAAUAUUUUUUAACAAAUUGGAUUAAAAAAACAUGGGGGUGCCAAGAUAAAAAAAAGGGUGGCCAACAUUUUUUAACAAAUUGGCUUAAAAAAUAUGGGGGUGCCAAGAUAAAAAAAGGGUGGCAAAUUAAUUUUUCCUAUGAAUCUCAUAUAUACCGCAAACUAAGAUUUUUGGUUUAAAAAUUCAAUGCACGCACCCCACACUUAUUUUUUUCGGAACAGAACAAGAUUUUAGACCACUUUCAAAUUUGUCCGCCCCACCCAUUCUUAAGUUUUACUAUCAUUCAAAUAAAAAUUUCUUAGCGAUCGGUAGUUUUUAACCGACAAAAAUUGUUUUGAAUAAUAAAACAACUGGGAAAUCGCUGUUUGCUGCUGAGUGCUACUGUAUGGAACCCCAGGAAGAAGAAGAAGGCAGCAUUCGGCUCCUCCCACUCUCAACGUCGCCGCACACUCACCGCCGUUCCAUCUGCUCCAACUGCCAACGGCCGAAUCCAGUAUGUCUCUGUCACGCGCUUCCCGCAAACCCCAUUCCAACCACCACCCGAGUCUUCAUUCUCCACCACCCUCAAGAGGCCAAACACAAACUCUCCACCACUCCAAUCCUCACCAAAUCCCUACUUCACGCCACCGCCAUCACCGGCCGUCGCCUCCGUCGCGGCACUUCUCAUCUCUUCGACCAGUUUCCCCCUGCCGUCUACCUCUUCCCGUCAACCACCUCCUCUCCGGCCGUCAAUAUCUCCGACCUCAACCUGUCGGAGCUGAAACGUAAGGGCGAGAACGGCGGCUUGAUAUUGAUUGCUUUUGACGCGACGUGGAAGCACGCGAAGGAGAUGGUGAAGGCGAGCGAGGAGUUCCUGUCGAAAUUCGCGGUUAGGGUUUGUUUAGGGAUGGAAGAUGAGAAAGUGAGUGGAGGAAGUAUUUAUGAUUCUGAGUUGAUUUUGAGGAAGGAACCUUUUGGUGGUUGCGUCAGUACUAUGGAGGCUGUGGCUAGAGCAUUGCGGGUUCUUGAACCCAAUGGGGUUGAGAUUGAGGCUAAACUUAUUGGGAUUUUGAGGGAAAUGGUGACUUUGCAGGCUGGUUUUUUGAAACCUGUGAAGCCCAGACCCAAAUUGUUGAAGAAGAAGCAGCUUAAGGAAGUGGAAAAGAGUGAGAGUUCUGAAAAUGGAGAAGAUCCUGACCUGUGGCACAUGUGGCAUGAGAGAGAGAGAGAGCAAGCAAGUGUGUGACAGUGGUGGGUGAUGAUUUGUGCUUUUUGUGAAUGUUUGUUGUUGUUUUGUAUUUUGUUAUGUUGUUGUUCACACCUUAGGUGGGCCUCAUCAAAUUGGUUCACUUCCAAUCACCCUUUUUUUGAUGAUGAAGAUUGAGUGUUGGUGGUUGAACUUUGGAAUUAAGUGCUCAUGUGUCCCUCAACUUCACCUCCUUUUUUUAGGGAUUUCACUUUUUCCUUUCCUCUCACUGGAUCUUGACUCAGACGGGAAUAAUCAAAUGCAUAUUCCCAGCAACGGUUAGACUCUCCUCAAAGCUGCUUCCUUUAAUUUAUUCCCCAAUCAGACAUACAGAAUAUUGUUUCAUCUUUUUUUUAUUAUACCCGUUUGUUGUUUUUACCCAACACAAACGGAACUAAUUCAUUCCACUCCAAUUUUUGAUGAUGAUGAUGAGGAUUCCUAGUCUUCUUCUUGUUCUAAUUCUUCUAUCAUCAAUUGGUUGUCAAGUCAUGAGUGACUCCAAAGCCAGCCCCCUUGAUGCAAUUCUCCAGGAAUAUGCCUACAAGGCUUUGGUCAAACCAAUAACAGAAAAGCCGUGAUUCAGGGUUGGUAAUGAAACUCAAGAAUCUCACUUGGUUCUCAGUUUCUGCAUGAAGUCUGGGAUUUUACAUGGAUAAAAUGAUAUGGUGAGGAUCCAAGCUUCCAGAUUAGGUCAAUUUGAUUUGUAUAGUGUUCCAACUCCUUUGGUGCAUGUUUCUAUAAGAUUCUGAAGUUCAGAAACCGUGUUUGACUGAAGAAGUUCAACGGGAGUUUCGGUAAAUUGAGUCGUGGGGUGGAGAACGUUCUAUCUUGUGUGCCUUCCUUCUAGACUUGUAUCACACUAUUCUUGAACGUAUGAUGUUAUCACUUUUCAAGAGUAAGAUAGAAAAAGAACGAGUUUUGCUUUGCAGAACUUGCUCCUUUUGCUUUCUCGUUCUCAAGCAGCGAUGAAGUCAAGCACUUGUAGAUACGUAUACUGUGAGAGCAAAUGGUUGGAACAUCAUUCUAGUCAAAUCAACUUUCCUAAAAGUCUAGAUUCUCACUAUCACAUAUCUAUCGCAUAAUAUACCAGAUUCAUGAUUUGAGCUGCUGCGUUUUUGCUUCUAUUUUUAGUCUGGAGUCUGGACUGAUAUUUUGAGAAGGAGGCCAUGAAUUAUCUACUUUAUGUGUUGUAUUUGACUGCAAUUCCUGGAAGUUCUUGCAUGUGGGAUGUGAAAAAAGUCAUGUUUGACCAAACCAUAUGCAGAAGAGGUUGAUAUAUCAUGUAUACACGUACUUGUAAUGCAAUAAUCAAUUGGAUACUUAUUAC